GGCAACCCAGCUCUUCUAAUUUAAAAGUUGCUGCAUUUGUGAUGAUUUUCAUCUUGACUGGGGAUGGUUUUUCCAGCAUCAUUUGUUAGACUAUUCUUACCUCCAUGGUGAUUCUUGGCGCCAUUGUCAAAGGCCAGCUGACUGUAUAUGUCACUGGCUUCCACUGUGAAUAAACUGCUAUUUCUUACAGCUCCCCAUUCUGAACACCAGCAUCAUGCAUCCUUUGCUCUGUUCUAGGCACAACAAUCAAAAGUGCUUAUUCCCAAACUGGACCUGACUUCAGCCAGAGCAUUGCUGGGACAUAUAUAAAUCUACGUUUAAUAUUUGAAGACUUGCCAGACUGUUUCCUAAAACACCUGCAGCAUUUUACAUUCCCACCAGCAAAGUACGAAAAGCUUCCAAUUUCUCUACAUCCUCACCGACAAUCAGUUUUUUAUUUUAAAUGCUAUAGUUACAAAGAAAAGUUUUAGAAUGAAUUAAUGCUGUGAUUUUAAUCACAAAGAUUAAUUUUGCAAUAAAAAUCCCUGAUAAUUAUGAUUA
ensembl:lncRNA LINC02699 long intergenic non-protein coding RNA 2699